AGAAGCUACAUGAAAUUUUGAAAAAUAAACAUAAAAGAAAUGAUAAUAAAACAGGCAGAAAAGGCAAAUGAGCAAAAGCUCGAAGUUAAAAUUGAAAACAUCAACAACAAAUUUUCUUAAAUCCUGUGAAAAAUAUGCAUGAAAAUUUAUCAAUCAUGUGCAUUGCCAUAAACAUGGGUAGAUCCUGUUGACUUCAUCUACAACAUGAAUGAAGAAUGAAGCACCAAAUAUGUUAAUUUGUAAAUGAAUUCCACAAACAACUCAAUUAGGCAACCCAACUCUCAGUGGAAGGUGGAAGAAAAUAAAUGACAAAAAAAAAUCCCUCCCUCCCCCGGAAAAAAAUAAAAAAAAAUUCUGUUGUAGGACUAACAGGAAGGACA
rnacentral:misc_RNA from 1 species